UGGAGUGGGCCAGCUUUAAUGAACCUGUCUAAAAGGAAGGAAGAGAAAGAGCUCAGCUCCUUAGGGGAACAAGGUGGACCUUGGCAGCUGUCUCACUCCUCACCAGCUCUUCACCUCAGAUCUUGUCCUGACUUCCUGGUCCACUAACGGCCUCCUGGAUAGAAGAGUCAGUUCACCAGCCCAGGAGAUGUUCUGAAAAUUGACAAUGAUCAUGAUAUACCCUGGAUCCAGAAUACUUCUCUAUACAAUGGGCAGAGAACAAAGAUUGGUGGCUUCCUCCUGAGCACACUGGGAUGUGGCAUUACAUCGGGGCUGCUGAGUGCCCUUACCUUCAGCUGCCCAGAUGCAGAGGCAGUUCCACAAGGUACUGGCACAAGAAGAGUCGUGGAAGACUGACCUGGCCAUGGCUUCUCAUGUCCCAGCUCAGGACCUGCCACAUCAAUUCUCCCUUUCCUCUGGCCGUCACGUGUGGAGUGAAAUUCUCAGAAGCGGCUGUCCCUGUGCACCUCUCUGGCUGUGUCCAGAAAAUGAACAUCUGUUUACAGCUUCAAUUUUCUAAUGAUUAGAAUGCCACAAACAAGAAAACCCAGAGGAAAGCUGUUGAUGCUGAAAUGUUUCCUUCCUCUACAUAUUCCAUGAUGCGUCCUGUGGGGUUAUGCAAACAGUAAUAUCUCAUUAAAUAUUCUGGUCUCUUGGAAAAAAAAAAAAA
rnacentral:lncRNA from 1 species